GACGUAGGGCGCGAGCGUUGUCCGGAUUUAUUGGGCGUAAAGAGCUCGUAGGCGGCUUGUCGCGUCGAAUGUGAAAACCCACAGCUCAACUCCGAGCUUGCAGUCGAUACGGGCAGGCUAGAGUUCGGCAGGGGAGACUGGAAUUCCUGGUGUAGCGGUGAAAUGCGCAGAUAUCAGGAGGAACACCGGUGGCGAAGGCGGGUCUCUGGGCCGAUACUGACGCUGAGGAGCGAAAGCGUGGGGAGCGAACAGG
rnacentral:rRNA from 1 species